CCCAAUGGGAGCAGCCAAGGCAAGGUGCACAACCCAUUCCUUCCCACCCCAAUGUUGCCACCGCCACCGCCACCACCGAUGGCCAGGCCUGUGCCUCUGCCGGUGCCAGACACAAAGCCUCCAACCACGUCAACAGAAGGAGGUGCAGCCUCCCCCACGUCACCAACCUACUCGACACCCAGCACCUCCCCCGCAAACCGAUUCGUCAGUGUUGGACCACGGGAUCCAAGCUUUGUAAAUAUCCCUCAACAGACACAGUCCUGGUACCUGGGAUAAAAGUUGCAGCGUCCCACCAUCCACCAGACAGACCACCUGACCCCUUCUCAACUCUGUAACAUGGACGCAACCUCAACCCAGCGCAGUUACAACUUCACUAUCAGCGGAAGGGGAGAAAAACCGAUUCAAAUCAACUUGUACAUGGAAACAGCAAGCAUUAUGGUCAAACAGCAAAGGCCAUAACCUUUUGGGAUUUUUUUUUUUUUAAAAUACUUUAGGGACUGUUGUAAUUUCUCAUAUGGUGCUGGAAAUGGUUGGGCUUUGUAACAUUUGAAGUGUUUCCAUGGUAGCGUGAGCAUUAGGUGACGUGGCUAGCGGAGGACUACCCUUGCUCACUGACUUCCUGUUGUAACACACUUUCCUUACGGAGCCUGGCUGUUUCACAGUAUUUCAUGAAUUUACCCACACAGGUGUGAUCCUCCUUGAGCAUUGAGGAGGCACAUGGAGAACUAAAUCUUUUGUAGUAGCUGAGAUCUGCAAUAUAUAACGGGACAGUCAAAGGGCAAUGUUUUUCUGUAACAUAUUGGAAAAAGAAAAUGCAGUUAUAUUCCUUUUUUAUUUGUUCCUUUAGUUUGUUUUGGUUCAGCAGUCAGCAGUUAAGUAUAUAACAUGGCCCGCAAGGACAAUGAAUCCACUCACAUUGCAGAACAAUUCCGAAAAUGGCAAACUACUACUACUACUGUUCAGUUUUUUAAAAGUUUUGAAAUGCUGCACUUACAUUUAAAAAAACAACAACAACAUUUUUUCAACAAUUUCAACAAUGACACAAAAAUUCACAUGGAAAUGGGGAAGAUGGUCUGUUUUGACAGAAACUGACAGGAAUCAAUCAAAACAAUCGAAUUUUGAAUUGAGUAAAGUGCAAUUUCAUUGGAUAGCUAAAUAUCUUUGUAAGAUAGAGAUUGUUGAAAAUUCUAUUUUUGUUUUUCUAGUCCUUUCACCCCAGGACUCUAAAUUAUUGGGGUAAAAAACAGCCUUGCAAGAAAAAGGGGAGCUAUUUUUGCUUUUUAUGUUUUUUAUUGUUAAACUUGUAUCCCUUUAAAAACUGAAGGAAAUUAAAAAAAAAAAACAAAAAAACAAAUCUAAUGGUGCUUUUACCACAAUAUGUUAACUACAUUAAAUGCUAAUUAAUUAUUUUCUGUUAUCAAAGCACAUGACUAAAAUGAAAUCAUGGUAUCUGUUAAUUUUAUAAGCUAGAAGUCACUAUAAUGGAUUACGCCAAUUCUAAAAAAUUUUACACCUAUCUGGCAUCAUAGGAUUUAUCAGUUAUCAGACACCUCAUUGUACCAGAGAUUGUCCAGAAGUUUUAAAGACCUUUGCAUCCCUGAACUGGGCUAUGGGAAAUAAUAAUAGUAAUAAUAAUAAUAAUAAUAAUGAUGAAACCAAUACUGACACAAAUGCUGGUGCCCAUUCAGAUCAAGGGUACUUGUUAGGGAAAAAAAAAAAAGUUUGCACCCCCAAACGUCCUGUAUCUUAUGAAAAAAAAAACAAAAAACAAAAACAAAAAAAAAACACAAAAAACCACAGAAACAAAAACAAAAAAAAGUGCAAGUGAUUUUUCUACCAGACAGCGAAGCACCCCUUUGCUUCCCAUGCGACUUCAAGAAGGUUUCCUAUACUAUACAUAUAUAUACGUUCUGGUUGGCAAGCCCUGCUGAUCAGAGAAAGUCUCUGCAUGUUCUAGUGUUAGUAACUAAUUUUUAUAUAGUUAAUGUAGGAUAAAGUAGAGUGCAUUAAGACACAAUAUUGUAAUCCCUACUCUAGGCACUUGCCUUUAAACUAUGUUUUUCAGCCCUUCAGAAGGGUUCUACUACUGUCCUAUACAAUCAAGUAACUGAAAUUCUUGGGAAGACACUUUGCUCCUCAUCUUUCUCCCCGAAACAAUGUUGUUUUGUUUUGUUUUUUUUCCUUAAUUUGCACGAAAACAAAAAUUCCAUAUCAAUGUGCCUUGCCCUGGAUAGCGAUUAUUUGUGGAAUUGUUGCACAUGCUCCUCUAUUGAAAGGGGUUUUUCCCUAGUCAAGCAUUUGGAGACACUUUUUGUAAAUGUGACUUUUAUGUCAGCCAUCGUCAGUUUCAACAUCUAGAACUAAAUAGAAAGCUAGUUGUUCCGCAGAUAGGAGUAGUCUUUAUUGUCCUGUACGGUCGGUGGCAGUGCUAUUCUGAGAUCUGUAGAUGCUUAGAAUAUCAGUAUUUUGGAUGUUGCUGCAUUUUACAAUUUAUUUGGAGUCUUCCUUUAUUUUCCCCCAGAUAUAUGAAAAUAUGCAAUACCUGCUUAUAUCAUGUAGAAAAGCUUAGCAAUUAUUAAUUUUUCUUUUAUUUUUUUUUAUUUGACCAAAGUCGGUGCUGCACUUGACGCAGUGUGUUUUAGGUGUUUGUCUUUGUACUUUUUUGUGAUUUUUGAAUGCACGUGCGCAGGAAGGGCUCCUCUUAGAGAAGCAGUCAAACUGUGAAGCACUAAGCUGACCCUGCUUCAAGCAAUUUUGUUUUUACAACUGUUCCUUUCACAAGCAAGCCUUAAAAAAAAAAAAGACAACUUCCUUUUUCUUCAGCUCCCACACCCCAUUUUUCUUAGCAGACUGCAGUCAAUCCACAUUCAAUAAAAAGUAUAUAAUGCCCAUUUUUAUAUGCACGUUUUUAAACUUCCAAGUUCUGAAAAUUGUUUACUGGUUAUCUCUAUUUAAGGAAAAAAAAAUAAAAUAAAACAUUUUGGAUUUUCAUAUGUGUCUGAUAAGUGGUUGAAUAGUCGUUUGGCGCUGUUGUAUGGUGUGAUUGUCAGUGUAUGGUGUCACUUCCUAUAGCCAGCCAGCAUACUUUGCCUUCCCCUAUAGCACUUAGCUGGGCAUUACUUUAUUAUGACAUAUGUGCACUAAAAAAUGAAAAAAAGGAAAAAAAGAAAAAAAAAAAGAAAAAAUAGCAGCUUUCAGUGCUUCACAGUGAAGGGAAAAAAGCCUAGACAAACAUUUUGUCAGAACCUUGCAAUAAGCCAAGGUAUUACCAGUAAAUUGGUUGUAUAUACAAUAAAAUUGCACCCUUUUUUAAACAAAACAAACUAAGCAAUAGUUUGGGCAGUUUUAGUUGUUUUUAGUGAGCAUGUUGUAGUCAUGACUGCAAAGAGAGAGAAUAAACUGCCCGCUCAGAAGAUAUGUAAUUUGUAUUGUUGUAUAGUUUUAUUGAUUACACUGAUUUAUUCUACCCUAUUUUAUAAUGCAGGACUUUUGUAAUGUUGUUUAAAUGAGGAAAAAUUUCUGUCAAAUUAGCCUAGUAAAAUUUCUGAUCGUUCAUUAUAAAGGCAGCGUUCAUAGAAUUGCUUUUCUUUCUUUUUACCCCCCCUUUGGGAACUGGAUUUAAGUUUAAAACUUUCCUGUUUCCUUUUUUUUUUUUUUUUUGUAAGUAUUUAAAUACAAUUAUUUUUUUCUCUCAAUGGUAUAGCAUAUUCCUAUGCUUGAGAAGUAUAGGUCUACUGAAAAACCAUUGUAAAUGGACGUUACAGGUAUGCUGUAUUUUUGAAGGUAUUUUGUUGUAUUAAGUUUGAUGAAGCUAAAAUUAGGGAACUCUGAACAGAUUUGCAGGAAAAAAUGUUUUAAAGGCUUUAAAACAUUAGGGAGGCAGUCUAGGGUGAUAACGAACAGGGGUUAAGUAUUAAAUACACGAAGUUACAUUUUUGUUCAUGUUUCAUUGUCCAGAAAGCAGCAGGAAACUAUUCAGUUGUGAUCAAGCAGGAAAAAAGAAACACCAACAGUUGCCAGUGUUUUUGCUUUUUAGCUUAAAAGCAUAGUGAAGAUGCUUGAGGAAGACUUUGCUACCUGGGGUGUGUAGACAGACAGACUGAGAGCUAUCAGCAUUUGAAGGCCCAGCCCUUGACUCUGAGACACAUUUGAAUUUUUUCUUUCCCAUCAAAUGGCAUUAACAAGAUUGGGCAAAGAUGAGUCCCUCAAAUUUCUGUGUUUUUUGUUUGUUUGUUUGUUUGUUUUUUCUUUGGGAACUGAAGUCAGAGGCACGAACACUAACUCUUAGCAUUUUUCUGUAGACUUUUUCUUCUGGCCCUUGUCCCUGCCAGCAAAACGCCCCUUUUCUGAUCAUUCGUGCGCAGAGGGCCUCCCAGUAAUGCCACGCUCUCCAUGCUAGAGAGCCUUCUCUUUCCUCUGAGGUUUGAACUGAUGUUCUGUGUCUUCACACCCUGGCAUGACAGUUACGUGUGGUCAGCCCGCUCCCCAGGCCCGUCCCUGCCGCCGCCAGGUGUGGGCUCUAGGCAGGCCGACAAGGUUACACCUCCCAGAGCUUGUGAUCUUCAUUUUCUGACAGUCAAAGUGUGAAGGAACCCAGACUUCCCCGAGCCACGGUGUUCAGUCAGCCCACAGGAAUAUGCAAGACCCAUCUCCAAAAGUUUGUCUUUGAUUUUUUCCAAGCCCUUAGCCCCAUAAGCUUUGAAUCCUGUAGUUACAGUGGCAUAAAGGACUGACAAAACCUGGAUAAGGAAAAACCUUUUUUUUCUAUGAAUUUUUUUUGUUUUUUAGGGGAAAGGGAUUCUAAGAAUGUCAUUUAAUGUACUUUGCAUCAUGUCUCUAGAAAUAUCUUUGUCCAUAGUGGUGGUGGAGUCUCUCUCUCUCUCUCUCUUUUUGUUUGCUUCUGUUUUCUUUCUUGUCUUCAUUCUUUCUUUUCUUUUUUAUUUCUGGUAGCAGGCCUCCAUAGAACAAAUCUAAAACACAACCACCAUAGUAAUGUAAGGAGAGCUUCAGUGGCACCUCAAAACCCACCCUUCGAGAUCUGUCCAAAGACAGUCUCAGAAAGCUGCACUGCCCACCGGCUCAGCUUUCAUUCAAAAAGGCUUCCAAGGCCAAUUCUGUCUUGAAGUCAAUGCAUGUAUUUACUGUUUGACAGUAAACCCGCUCUGCCUUCUCCACGUCCAAGGCUGUGCAUUCGUCUAAUUAGCGUCGUGUAUGUUUUCCUUUUAUUUUUUCCAAUAAAAAAGCAGUGGGAUGAAAAUUGCUUUGAUAUAUAGCAGGUAACAUUGAAGCUAUUCCAUAGCACUUAACUGUAGUGAAUACUGUGUCACCAAUUUUGAAAUCAAUUUAAUGUUUAAUGCAAAUCCAUUACAUGGUGCUAUUAUAGGCUGACAAAAUGAUUUACACAAAUGUGACAACUUGGGCUCAAUUCACUCUGCUUUCCAACAGUGUAAAUGCAUAGCAGUGUUUAUCUGCAUGAGAACUAUGCACUAAUCUAUCUGAAGAAAAAAACUAUAUCAACUUUGGUAUCUACUUUCCGUUUACUUCAAUCCUUGCCUUUUUGGUCAUUGUUAUAAUGCCAGCUUUAGGACAGAAAGAAUUAUAAGAAAACCAGCAUAAUACCUGAUAUAUUAAAAUGUAGUGCCUGUGAAAUCUGUAUUAUAUUGCUCUUCUGAAGUAAGAUUUUUCUACACCGGUAGCCUUCGCUGUCUGUCAGUCAGGACCUUCUGGUAUAGGUGAUGUAAAAUAACCGUACAAUAUUAAUGCAUGCGAUUCCAUAAUGCUUAGUGAACUGUAUGAAUAUUACUCAAAGUUAUGUUAGUCUUUUUUUCCGACUUGGUUCUUGUCAGCUAGGUUUAAAGGUAUUUCACUGAGAACGCAAAUUCUGUCUUUUCUUGAUUUCGGCUGUUUUCAGUAUUUUGGAGGUAUACAUUUACUUAAAUUCAGUAUUACUCGUGUUUUGUUUUUGUUUUUGUUUUUUGUUUUCUUUUUCCUAGGGGACAAGCAUGGGUGUUUGAUUUCAGAAAUCAGUACCUGGCGAGAUUUUUGUCUCAAAACGACUAUUUGAAUUUCAAGAACUGUGCUGCGAAGACACUCUGAGAACAUUUGCAAGUCAGGGGCAUUUUCCUUGACCCUUGACUGAUGCUAUGCGGAGACUGAUACAUUUUCUUAAUGGACAAUGUUCAAGCCAGGUACCCAUGCUUGAUCUGUCUUCACACCAGACCUCCUCAUAUUAAAAGGAAAAAUAAGAAAAAAAAUGUAAGAAAUCACAUGGCUAUUUAGUUUCAUGCACAGUUGCAAUAUUUUCUUCAAAAAUAAAACUCUGUACAAACUUUGGGCCCGAUUCAUAAGAAAAAGAAGUUUGCUAUUAACACGGGAUUUUUUUAAUAUACUUUUUUUGGUCUAAAUUUGAAAUUACUUGCUUCCCAAAUUAAAUAAAUUUCAUCUCAUUUUUUUCCCUAAACCAGCACCCAUCUGCCUUUUAUUCCCCAAAGAGUUACCUUUCCCAGAUUAGGGGGAUGGUAUGUGGGGAGCAGAUAGCGGAAAUGCUUAGAAAGAUAAGGGGGACCACCCACAGCUGGUCGUGAGAACAGGGAGACAGUGUGUGGGGGUGGGACCUCAUCUGUGUGCCUGGUAUCCUGAGUUUUACAUGUAGAUGCAUUCGCCUAUUUGAUUCAGAAAAAUAAACUUUCCCAAAAUGUGUCUGAACCACAAGAGCAUACAGUGGAAGUGCUACCUCUAAUCUAACCAGAGCACCUUCAUGGUGGAAGACACCCACCAGGUCAUACAAUGUGAACUUUUGUAUCUCUGCAGUGGUUUCAAGGACAAAUAGUGUCCAAUGUAUUGGGCCAUUUUUCCUGCUGUUUUUAUACUCAACUUCUCAAAAUGAAAAAAGCUUUUAUUUUUCCUUUGACUUAUUUGUGUUGUUCUUAUUUUUUAAAUUUUUAUUUUUUGAUAAUAGUCUGUAAGUUAGCCUUUUUGGGUUUUUUUUUUUUUUUUUUGGCUUUUUUUUUUGUUUGUUUUUUUUUCUUUUGACAUUGCAACCGAAGGUCAUAAGGCCGCUAGCUCCGCUGGGACAGAGGCUUGAGAGAACUAACGGCUCGGUGCCUUCUCCCUGGUCUCAGACCAUCGUCUCUGCACUGCGAAGGCAUUUGGUAGCCUCGCCACUGAGAUACUAACUAGACCUAGACUAGGAGCUUUAUCAGGUUCUAGGAGGUCCUUUAGGAAGACUCUCAAAGGCAAAUCCCUGAUCCCCCGCCCCACCCUUAGCCCUGCCCUCUCACCAGAGCAAAAUUCACUGGGGACUUUUCCCACCACACAUGGAAAUCUGUCCACUCGGAAUACCUCUGUUUUCCAUUUCAAAUUGUAGGGGGAGGGGAUGGAACACUUCCAGUGAUGGUAAGAGAUCUGUUAUGAAACGAAACACCCCCCGUGUUAAUAACUUGGUCUGAAAUCUGUUUUUAUGAGCCGGGCCCCCUGUGCCUCUAGUAUACUUGUAUUGACUCUCAUAGUUACCCUUUUAGUUUUACUGUGUUCUGUGAAAAUUUGUAAUUGGUUGAGAAUCACUGUGGGCGUCCAUUCUUAUUCAACUAAAUCUCCACAGGUUUUUUGAGCUGGUGUGGAUUAGUUUAACUCUUGUAUUCAACCAUUAGUGCUACCACCUUCUCACAUUACAAUACAAUUACUGGAAGCAAGUACUGCAUUUCCUAUGCAACAAAAAAGGAAAAAUAAAAAAUUGCUAAUGCU
rnacentral:lncRNA from 1 species